rnacentral:lncRNA from 1 species
AAAAAGCAACUAAUAGAUCCCGUUUCUCUCUCUAAAACCAAACGCCACCCUUCCUUUCAUCUCCAUCUAUCUCACAAUGUUGAAACAAAUUCAAGUCCUCACAAAAACGAAUACAAUCAAAAGAAAUAGAACAAAUCCCUUUUAAACUGCUCCAACACAAAUUGAAACAAAAUCACCCCUUUAGAAUCAGUUUUAACAAAAAAA